CCUACGGGAGGCAGCAGUGGGGAAUAUUGCACAAUGGGCGCAAGCCUGAUGCAGCGACGCCGCGUGCGGGAUGACGGCCUUCGGGUUGUAAACCGCUUUUGACUGGGAGCAAGCCCUUCGGGGUGAGUGUACCUUUCGAAUAAGCACCGGCUAACUACGUGCCAGCAGCCGCGGUAAUACGUAGGGUGCAAGCGUUAUCCGGAAUUAUUGGGCGUAAAGGGCUCGUAGGCGGUUCGUCGCGUCCGGUGUGAAAGUCCAUCGCUUAACGGUGGAUCCGCGCCGGGUACGGGCGGGCUUGAGUGCGGUAGGGGAGACUGGAAUUCCCGGUGUAACGGUGGAAUGUGUAGAUAUCGGGAAGAACACCAAUGGCGAAGGCAGGUCUCUGGGCCGUCACUGACGCUGAGGAGCGAAAGCGUGGGGAGCGAACAGGAUUAGAUACCCUGGUAGUCCACGCCGUAAACGGUGGAUGCUGGAUGUGGGGACCAUUCCACGGUCUCCGUGUCGGAGCCAACGCGUUAAGCAUCCCGCCUGGGGAGUACGGCCGCAAGGCUAAAACUCAAAGAAAUUGACGGGGGCCCGCACAAGCGGCGGAGCAUGCGGAUUAAUUCGAUGCAACGCGAAGAACCUUACCUGGGCUUGACAUGUUCCCGACAGCCCCAGAGAUGGGGCCUCCCUUCGGGGCGGGUUCACAGGUGGUGCAUGGUCGUCGUCAGCUCGUGUCGUGAGAUGUUGGGUUAAGUCCCGCAACGAGCGCAACCCU
rnacentral:rRNA from 1 species